AAGUCGUCACCGAUUGCCCCAUGGGCUCUUGAGUUCGAUAAUUGGCUUAAAGAUGCUCUCCUUCAAGGAAGAUAUGACGAUGUGAACGAGUACGAAAAGAAGGCUCCACAUGCAAGAAUGGCACAUCCUAGUCCAGACCACUUUUUCCCGCUGCACGUUGCGAUCGGAGCAGCAGGAGGUGACCCGAAAGCCAAGCUUAUCCACCAUAG
rnacentral:misc_RNA from 1 species